GCUUCGUCAUCAUCAUGGCGCUGUUCUCCUUCUCUAACGGAUACUUGGCGUCCCUCUGCAUGGCCUACGCUCCACAGUUGGUGCGGUGCAGAGACUGCGAGACAGCUGGCUCCCUGAUGACCUUCUUCCUGGUUCUGGGUCUGGCACUGGGAGCUGGAUCCUCCUUCUUUCUGGGGAUGCUGGUCUAAAAAAAAAAAAAAACUCUGGUGCUGAAGAUGAAGAAAAUAAAACGUGAUAACGGGGAGUCAACGUGUGACAUCACAGCCACAGAGCUCUCCCAUUGGCUCUUUACGGGUUUACACAUUUACAGAGACAGCGCACUGAAAUCUUUAAACUAAUGGUGCGUUCCAUUUCAUCUCGGAGGUCUGACACGAUAUCAGGAACAAGAAAACUCUCAAACCUCUGUUAGCUCGAGUUAAAAUCCAACAUGGCUGCUCAGUGUUUAAUCUGUAACGGUACGUUUACUUUCUCUUUUACUCGAAUUAAAUCGACCACACCGUGGUGACAGUUACAUCUGUACGUGUGAUGUCAUCGUCUGGUGUUAGCUUACAAACUAAAGGAACUCCUGGAGGCAUUACCUUCCUCAUCCCCGCUCAGAGGCCUGAUUUCCGAGGUGAAUUGAACGCACCAUUUGCGUCGUAUUCUGUUUUUGUUUAUCGCUGACCUGUGUUUACGUUUGUAUUUAUAUAUUUUUUUAAACUUGUUUUUAUUCAGGGAUUUUGAACAAGCAUCUUUUAUUUGUAAUGAAUGUGUUUCUUAUUAAAAAGUUUUACGAUG